rnacentral:lncRNA from 1 species
UUUAAAAUAAGUUCAUUUACAGAGAGAGAGAUUGAGAAACUAUGUGAGAAGUAACACAAAAAUCCAAAUGUGAAAUUGCUUCUUUCUAGAAAUAGGUUGGAAUUUGUAUUAUGAGAGGGAGUAACAGGGAGCAUGUUUGUUUCCUUUGGGACCUACACUGAAUUUAUAAAAUAUUCUGGUCUUUUCCCCUCUAGCUACUACCUCCUCCAUUAGAUUAUAAGGUAUAUCCUUUCGAGAAGUAAUGGAGUCCAGUCAACCUGACUUCACUGAUCUCCAAGGACUAUUGAAAAUUAUAAAGCUUGCUGUGAGGUUCUGACAUGCCAGAAGCCACUGAAAAAGAAGUUUGAUAUCCAGUGGUUCUCCUCAUCCUAGGAUAAGAAACCAAAAUGAUACCUUCAGUCAGCUGGCCCUCUCCUCAGGUGUAGAUCAUCUAUUAUCAUUUCACCUGUUUUGAUUCUCUGAUGAGGAAGGUCCCAGGACUUAUCAGCUGGGAUAGGCCUCAUUUACAAGACAGCUCUGUUCAGUAUGUGGAAGGUAAGCUAUUUGCACAACUUCUCUGCUGUAGCGUGCUGGCCUAGCUCUAGAACUUUGUAGCGUAUCACUUAUUUUUAACUUUUACUUUUUAUUCUCUCUUCUUCUUUUUUUGGAGAAAGAAAGCCUGACAGGUUUCUCCGGAAAAGUGACCAUCCAUGGAAUGAAUGAAAUGUUCCCUUUCUAUUCCAGGGAUUGCAGUGGCAAAGCUAGGCUAGGUCUUGGAGGCUGGUGUAAGGCGAAGCGGGUGAAGGCAGGAGGCUGAUGGAGAGACUGGGGGGAAGAAAAGCCGAAAUGGAUUCACUGUGCCUUGGAUGGAGGACGAGAGGGGAAUUGCAAGCUCCUUCAGCUCGUUCUGUCCGGUGAGAAGUGAUCAAGCUUGGGCUGACAAGAGGCUCAGGGAGCCCUCACGUUCUUUCGCUUUUUUACCUGCCAAUCAAACUGCUACAAGACAACACCCUGAUCUGGCAUGGACAUCGCGGGUCCAAGCCUGUAGCCCCAAAUCGGAUAAUCUGUGCAGCUGA